CUUUAGUGUCACUCUGCUUGGCUGAUUGUAGGUUCUCCAGGAAAAUUUGCCAAAUAGAAUAAUGAAAUGAUGAACUAAUUGUUCUGACAAUUCAGGUGAACAGGAGUUUAGUGACACUUAGUGUUUUACUUCUACAUCUAUGUGUUCAAAGUACUCUUCUUUUUCUUGAUAAUGAAUCUAGAAGCUGGGAUGGAUAAUAAAAUUUCUAAUUUUUUAUAGGUUUUUCAGAAAUGUUGGUUCUUAAUGGAAGAAGAAUCAGUCAUUGCGAUUAUUCUUGUGGUAGGAUGCCAUACCACCAGUGUAGACCUCCUGCACUCAGGCUCAGGUGAGCAAGAAAAACAUAUCAUGGGCCUGGAGGAUUCCAUUGUCACAAUAUGUGUCACCACCUUCCAGAAUGGAGAACUGGUUAUUGCAUAUAUUUCUGCAAGAAUAGAGGAGCAGAAAGAAAUACUAUAAUGAAGGCCAAAGUGGAGUAUAAACAAAAUGGAGGGAUUAUUUGUUAAGCCUUUGAGAAUAUGCUGAAGGAAUAACAACUUUAUUGUAACUGCUGCGUGACAACAUGGAGAGAUGCGUCCUGAUGUCAAUGAUGAUAAAGCAUCAAAAAGUGUGCAUCUUAGAAUGAACAAAUUCUAAGUUAGUUAUGAUUGUUGGGGCUAACACAUUUUCAAUAUGUAUUUUUUUUCAAUGCAUGAAGCUAAAAUGAGAAAUAAUUAUAACACUUCACACUUGUUUACAACUUUACAGCCUCCAAAGCAUUUCCCUACACAUUAUCUGAUUAAAAUUUCAGCCUAGAACCAACACUAGCAACAGCAUCGUUAUCUCUGGUGGUAGAUGACAUUUUUAAAACCAUGUCAAUGAUGUUAUUCUGCAAGUUUGUAUUUACACACUUCUUCAUUUCAUUUACUAGUUGUGGCAGACUGCAUGUCCACCAAAAUCCAUUCUCCCUUUUUUCCUGGUACAACUGGGCUGUAUUUUCCAGGCUCCCUGAAGAGUUAUGGCUGUGUGACUGAGUUCUAGUCAAUGGAAUGUGAACAUACAAGGUAUAUACUACUUUCAGGCCUGGCCCAUACAAUUAUUCAGUACAUGCUCUCCCCUCCAUUUAAACAUUGGAGACAUUUUACUGGGAGACAAAUGUGAAGAUGGUAUAGCCUCCAUCACUCUAGGUCUUUAAAUGGCUUUGUAGUUCCUGUUAUCCCCACCCUAAGCAGUUACAUAAAAAAGUAAUAAACAUUGUUCUUUAAGCCAUUGAAUUCUGAAAUUUAUGUGUCAUCAUGUCUUAGCUUGCUUUUUUAAUUAAAAAAUUUUUAAACUUUUAUUUUAAGUUCAGGAGUACAUAUGCAGGUUUGUUAUGUAGGUAGAUUGCAUGUCAUGGGGGUUUGGAGUACAGAUCAUUUCAUCACCCAGGUAGUAAGCAUAAUUUCCAAUAUGUAGUUUAUUGAUCCUCACCCUCCUCCCACCUUCCACCCUCAAUUAGGCCCUGAUGUCUAUUGUUCUCUUCUUUGUGUCUAUGUGUACUCAAUGUUUAGCUCCCACUUAUAAGUGACAACAUGCAGGAUUUGGUUUUCUGUUUCUGUGUUAGUUUGCUUAGGUGAAUGACUUCCAGCUCCAUCAUGUUGCUGCAAAGGACACAAUCUCAUUCUUUACUAUGGCUGUGUGGUAUUCUAUGGUGUACAUGUACCACAUUUUCUUUAUCCAGUCUACCAUUAAUGGACAUUUAGUUGAUUCCAUGUCUUUGCUAUUGUGAAUAGUGCUGCAAUGAACACACAUGUGCAUGUGUCUUUAUGGCAGAAUGAUUUACAUUCUUCUGGGUAUACACUCGGUAAAGGGAUUGCUGGGUCAAGUGGUAUUUCUCUUUUAAGUUCUUUGAGAAAUCUCCAAGCUGCUUUCCACGAUGACUGAACUAAUUUACAUUCCCACCAGCAGUGUAUGUGUUCCCUUUUCUCCGCAAACUUGCAGGCAUCUGUUAUUUUUUUGACCUUUUAAUAACAGCAAUUAUGACUGGUGUAAGAUGGUAUCUCAUUGUGAUUUGCAUUUCUGUAACUACUAGUGACAUUGAGCAUCUUUUUAUAUGCUUGUUGGCUGCUUGUAAGUCUUCUCUUGAAAAGUAUCUGUUCAUGUGCUUUGCCCACUUUUUAAUGAGUUGUUGGUUUUUUGCUUGUUAAUUUGUUUAAGCUCCUUAUAGAUUCUAUACAUUAGAUAUUUGUUGAAUGCACAGUUUGCAAAUAUUUUCUCCCAUUCUGUAGAUUGUCUAUUUACUCUGUUGGUUGUUGCUUUUGUUGUGCAGAAGCUCUGUAGUUCAAUUAGGUCCAAUUUGUCAAUUUGUGUUUUUGUUGUAAUAAAAUCUUUACCAGAGCCUAUGUCCUGUCUUAGCUUACUUUAACAAAUACAAUAGAUCGAGUUGCAUGUUUUCC
rnacentral:lncRNA from 1 species